rnacentral:misc_RNA from 1 species
AAGUCGUAACAAGGUUUCCGUAGGUGAACCUGCGGAAGGAUCAUUAACAAAUCUACAACAACCCUGUGUAAAUACGGUUCGCCGGCAGGACGGCCGCAAGGCCCGACCGCCGGCACCAACACUAUACGUUCACUUGUGGAGGUAGACACCAAACAGCAAACAACUUUUAACAAUGGAUCUCUUGGCUCUU